GCCGCAAUAGCUCAGUUGGUAGAGCACGUCAUUCGUAAUGAUGGGGUCGGGGGUUCGAUUCCCUCUUGCGGCACCA
rnacentral:tRNA from 1 species